GUUGUACGUAAAGAUGGAAGUUUAGCCGGAAUUUGUAAAUUUUUGUACGACAAUUACAACGAGUGUAAUGAAUCCUUAAAGUUAUUUUAUCACAACUGUUAUAAACCUGAAUCAAAGAAUAAAGGUUUUAUUUUUAAAGUACUUACCGAAGUAAAAGGUAGUGAUGGAGAAGAUGAUGUCGAUACUUUGUGUGAUAGGGACUAUAAUUGUUGCGAAUUUAGGCCUGAUAACAGUUAUUUUUUGCGACAAAAUUUGUUAGGAACAUGUAACAGUACAGAAUUUAUUUUACUCGAAAGUUUUACAAACAAACUUCUAAGAGAUGUCUUGUACGGCAAACGGAAGUUUUUUAGCCAGUAUAGAAAUGUCACGUGAUGUAUGAUGUAGCACAUAUACGGUAUUUAAGAGAGCGAGUAACUGUCCAAGUAACAAAGCUAUAGCCUAUAUAGUACUAAGAAGAAGAAGAAGUAACGAUGAAGGGUUGCCUUAUAGAUUUCGAGUGUUUUAUUCUGUCUUCGGAAAAGAUAAUUUACAGACAAGUGAGUUAUCUAGCGCUGGACGAUGACAAAGGCGAGUGUAUACAGAUUUAUACUCCCGGUGUUUAUUACAAUCAGCUAACCGAAGACGAGAAGAAGUCCGUCAGGCAUGCAACACAGAAAGUUCACGGACUACGUAUGGCCUACAGACCUCAACAAGACGGAGCUACUUAGAUUCAUUACAAGAAAAUAGAAGACGUUCUAUACAGUUUGCACAAACAGUACGGAACAUUAUACUAUAAAGGUGGAACCAUAGAAAAGAAUUUAUGUUCGAAAUUAAAUA
rnacentral:lncRNA from 1 species